GAUGAACGCUGACAGAAUGCUUAACACAUGCAAGUCCACUUGAACUUCGGUUUGGGUGGCGGACGGGUGAGUAACGCGUAAAGAACUUGCCUCACAGCUAGGGACAACAUUUGGAAACGAAUGCUAAUACCUGAUAUUAUGAUUAUAUGGCAUCGUAUAAUUAUGAAAGCUAUAUGCGCUGUGAGAGAGCUUUGCGUCCCAUUAGCUAGUUGGAGAGGUAACAGCUCACCAAGGCAAUGAUGGGUAGCCGGCCUGAGAGGGUGAUCGGCCACAAGGGGACUGAGACACGGCCCUUACGCCUACGGGAGGCAGCAGUGGGGAAUAUUGGACAAUGGACCGAGAGUCUGAUCCAGUAAUUCUGUGUGCACGAUGAAGUUUUUCGGAAUGUAAAGUGCUUUCAGUUGGGAAGAAAAAAAUGACGGUACCAACAGAAGAAGUGACGGCUAAAUACGUG
rnacentral:rRNA from 1 species